GAAGCUGGCCAGACAGUCGCUGUCCUUUUAUCUUCGGGUAAAAAGAGAGAGGAAAGUCCGGACUUCAUAGAGCAGGGUGCCAGGUAACGCCUGGGCGGCGAAAGUCGACGGCAAGUGCAGCAGAAAAUAUACCGCCGAUGGUUCACUUUAGUGUUCACAGGUAAGGUUGAAAUGGUGCGGUAAGAGCGCACCGCAUUGCUGGUAACAGUAUAUGGCGAGGUAAACCCCACCUGAAGCAAGACCAAAUAGGAUUCCGUACGGCGUGGCUCGCGUUGGAAUCGGGUAGGUUGCUGGAGCCAUUGAGUGAUCAAUGGCCUAGACGAAUGACUGUCCACGACAGAAUCCGGCUUAUCGGCCAGCUUCACUU
rnacentral:RNase_P_RNA from 1 species